AAAUACAUCAAAAUAUCAUAUUUUAUGUAAAUAAAAUUUUAAAAAUUGUAUAAAUACAUAAUAAUUUUUUUUGUGAGGAAAUUGCACUCUAUACCCUUUGUAUAUUGUCUUCUUUUUUAAAGUCUAUCAUUUUUACCUCUUUUUCUAAACAUUGUACCAAUUUUGCCCAUGUCACUUUAAGAUACUCUCCAUGUGACUCUCUUAUUUCAGGGUAUUGUGGGUACAAUACAUAUAAAAAGAGGUAUGUUUCAAUUAAAUAUAAAAUUAGAGGUAAAUUUAAUCAAUUGACUAAUAAAAGUGGUAUUUUUCAACUUACCCGAAAAAUAAUUCCUUCAUCUUCAAUGGCUAGCGAAUAGGCCCAUAUUAAAGGCCCAACAAUAACAAGAACAAACCCCUAAAAACACUACAGUUUUUACCCCUCUCUCUCUCUCUCUCUCUCUCUCUCUCUCUCUCUCUCUCUCUCUUGUUCAUCUUCUCUCUCUCACUCUUCUUCUCAACCCUUUCCACCGCCGAGUGCCGAUCCCUCGCUUAACGGCACCGCCUCUAACUCUAUCUCUCUCACGCAGAUCAGGAUGGGCUAUUAUGAUUACUUGAAUGUUAAAAUGCAUUCUUCAUGCAAAAUAAUAAAAUUGUUGUAGCUAUAUUUUUGGUUAAAAAAGACCAUGCAAGUUGGUCUUAGCAUAUUCUUUUUAUUUUACUCUGGUAUAUGUUUUGUAUUAUCAAUUUCUUACAUUAAAACAAAAUCUUCAUUUAAGAAAGAUGCUUGAAGGAUGGAUUAUUUUGUUGUGAA